UACGUAGGGACCGAGCGUUGUCCGGAGUCAUUGGGCGUAAAGAGCGUGUAGGCGGCCUUUUAAGUCCUGCGUGAAAUCCUGCGGCUCAACCGCAGACGGUCGUGGGAAACUGGAAGGCUAGAGUGCGGGAGAGGAGAGUGGAAUUCCCGGUGUAGCGGUGAAAUGCGCAGAUAUCGGGAAGAACACCCGUGGCGAAGGCGGCUCUCUGGGACGGUACUGACGCUGAGACGCGAAAGCGUGGGGAGCGAACAGG
rnacentral:rRNA from 1 species